GUGAUUUCUGAAGAACAGAAGUUUCUUUGUUGGGAAGUCUGAGAUUAGGGCACAGGCCUCUGGAGAGGGCAGCUGUCAGCUUCCAAGAUGGUGGCUUCCUCGGGAGGUCAGGAACUUCUCUCUCAUUGGACAGAAGGAAGAGAACACAGAGGGACACAUAAUCCCAUUCCUGAGACUCAACUGCUUUCUGAAGGCCAUACCUCCCAACACUGUUCCCUGGGAUCAAACUCAAUCCGAGCACGCAGCAGGUGCUCAUCUGCCUCCCUUCCCCUCACCCUGACUCCGGAUCCAAGGAAGAAGCUGUUUGCCACCUGUGUUUAAUGGGGUGCGAGCUUUGGAGAGCCUCCCUCAGGAGCAAGCAUUUUAGUAUCUUUAUUUGUGAUCAACAUGAUCAUACAUGUUCCCCUCCUCAGAUGAUUGGCAACAGAGCGUUAGUCACCUGUACAGAGCACUGGCUCAUGACUUGUGGAGCUGCUGUGGGGACCCAAGGGAAGAUCCAGUUAUUAAAUUUUACCCCCUCAUUGGCUGAAACACUCAUUAAGUGUUGAGGAUACAAUUAGGAACAAAGUGUGGACUUGCCCUCGGGAGUUAUCAUCAUAGACUCGGGAUACGCUUCCCCAGCUGACCUUUCCUACCUGAACUGAAUCCAGUGACGGAUCCAUAAUGGAGAAGAAACUGGCUGGAAGUAAACAGACGGAGCAACAAGCCGACUUGUGGAGUAGGUGGGAGAAGUGAAGCGUGAAGAACAGCCAGAAGAGACUCACAAUCAGCCGAGUGCUUUACGGGGCUCACAGUGGCCUAGAAGAGACGUCCUGACAGGAUGUAUAUAGACAGGCUUAACUGAAGAGGAAGACCCACCCUGAAUGUGAAUGGAAGCAUCCUUCGGACGGGGGUCCUGAACUGAAUACAAAGGGGAAAAGUGAGAAGUCCCCUGUGCAAUGUGGAGGUACAGGAAGCUCAGCCUUCGGGAAGAAAGAUGGCUGGAAGUCUGAGUCAUCUGUCCUCACCAUUCACCCAAGGAUCUGGUGUCCUGUUGGCUGCGGUGAUACUCCCUCUGUGUAAAACGAUUGAUCUUGCCGUCAAUGGUACCCUAAGUACCUCAUGGAUCAGGGAAUUGAGCAGUAAAUUCAGCGACUAGAAGACACAGAAAAGGCCGUCUGUGAGUGAGAAGACAUUCUGAGCUCCAAUGAGUACCUUGAAUGCCAUCAGUAGAUGGAGCAGUGGCUAGCUGGCCCAUGGAUCCUAUCAGAACUGAAAUUCAGCGUAAGGGGACGUCUACAAAGUUUGCAUUUCUGCACCAAGUACCUGGCUUGAUAACAGCUCUUGGCUUCUUCCACACAGCUGCAGAGAAGCUGGAGCCAAACCCUGCUUGCAUUUGAUGAGUCAUCCUGCAUCACCCAUGUGGGACAGACACCCAGGAGCUCCUGGGGCUGCUGUGUCGGCCUCCUGCUUUUCCAGAAGAUGGAGAGGCAGGGGUGAGGCACAGGGUUCAAGUACAUGCUUAGCACGUAGUACACCUUUAGCGCCUGCAAGACAGAGGUUUGAUCUCCGACACUCCCCAAUGACUCCAGGACUCUGCUCCCAGCCCUGGAAACAGAAGACACAUAGCUAAAUUCCCAAUCCCGGGACCAAUCAGGCACGGAGUGAUAUUGUGAGUUAACUCUCCAAGACUCCCAUCCAUUCCUCAUUGUUCACUUGCUGGCCCUAGGUAGAAAGACCAAAGAAACUGGCUGUACUUACAUCACAAACACACAAGUGAGAGGAUUUGGCAGUAGGUAUAUUUAGGAAAGCAUAUGACUGUGUGGAUUUGUUCUCUUUAUCUAUUCUGAGGCCAGGGCUUCCUGCUAUAUUGAGGUUAGACAUCAAAACAGGUUUUGAAUUUUUCAAGAAGUUUAACCAAGUGUGAGUAUAGAAUUUACUUCUCUAGGGAUUUUUAGUAUUCCUGUGUGUAUGUGCAUUAUAUAAUUUAAAUGUCAUUUUUUGGUUCUAGUUUGGUUUUGGUAUUGAGAAUUGAACCCAGGCCUUCUGCAUGCUGAAUGUGGUCUCUAGCCCUGAGAUACUCUGCUCCUAAAAGUCACUUUUUUCCCCCCUCCCAAGACAGGGUUUCUCUGUGUAACCUUGGCUGUCCUGGAACUUGCUCUGUAGACCAAAUUGGCCUCAAACUCCUAGAGAUUCGCCUGGCUCUGCCUCUCAAGUGCCUAGUAGUUGCUAUUCAUUUGCCUUAUCUUAUACGAACCUCAGAAAGGCAUAAUAACAUAUUUAUCAUGAACUCCAUGGAAA